rnacentral:rRNA from 1 species
CGCGUCCUACGGGGCGCAGCAGUGAGGAAUAUUGGUCAAUGGGCGGGAGCCUGAACCAGCCAAGUCGCGUGAGGGAAGACGGUCCUAUGGAUUGUAAACCUCUUUAGGCGGGGAGCAAUGCCGGGCACGUGUGCCCGGAGGGAGAGUACCCGCAGAAUAAGCAUCGGCUAACUCCGUGCCAGCAGCCGCGGUAAUACGGAGGAUGCGAGCGUUAUCCGGAUUUAUUGGGUUUAAAGGGUGCGUAGGCGGAGUUUUAAGUCGGCGGUAAAAUGGCCGGGCUCAACCCGGGCCGGCCG